GGAAGGAUCAUCAGUGAACAUGUUUUUCAUUGAAAAAAAAAUUACACACCCUUUGGUUGCACUCUGUUUGGUUUGCCGGGAACGAGCGGUUUCUCUCUUUUUCCCCGCAUUCCAAAUACUUUUUUAAACCUUUAACAACCCCCCUUUUUUUGACACCUUUUAUCACAAACAUACCCCAUACAAAUAACAAAAAGACAACUUUUAACAACGGAUCUCUUGGCUCUCGCAACGAUGAAGAACGCAGCGAACUGCGAUAAGUAAUGUGAAUUGCAGAAUUCCGUGAAUCAUCGAACCUUUGAACGCAUUUUGCGCUUCCAGGUAGCCCUGGGAGCACAUCUGUCUGAGUAUCAAUUUCACCCUUCUUUGCGCGGGGAAUGCUUAAGGUAUUCCCUGUGCAAGACAAUGAGGAUCCUCGCUCUGUCAAACGAGCGACGUUCCUUGAAAAACAGCAGUCGAUUUGCCUUUUUAAAUCCAACAAAAAGGUUCAAAUCGUUUUCUCCUCGUGGAUUGUUGGCCUUUUUUUUUUUGGUUGGCCCCCCUUGCUUCGGCAAGACCUCCAAAAGAAAACCACUCCAAGCGCGUUAGGAAAGUUUCGUCUUUCUCACGUUUGGCGUCGUUUCUUUCAGAGACGACCAACACCUAAAAAAAAAAAGAAUCUGCCAAUCCACACCAUCAUUCUUGAUCUCAGAUCAGAUGGGACUACCCGCUGAACUUAAGCAUAUCAGUAAGCGGAGGAAAAGAAACUAACUAGGAUUCCCUCAGUAACGGCGAGUGAAGCGGGAAGAGCUCAAAUUUAAAAUCUGGGGGCUGGGACGACCGGCCCUCCGAAUUGUAGUUUAGAGAGGUGUUUUCGGCGGCAUCGUGGGUCCAAGUUCCUUGGAACAGGACGUCAUAGAGGGUGAGAAUCCCGUAGACUGGCCUAGCCUGGUGCUGCUAUGUGAUACGCCUUCGACGAGUCGGGUUGUUUGGGACUACAGCCCAAAAUGGGUGGUAAAUUUCAUCUAAAGCUAAAUACGGGCGAGAGACCGAUAGCGAACAAGUACCGUGAGGGAAAGAUGAAAAGAACUUUGAAAAGAGAGUGAAAUAGUACGUGAAAUUGUUAAAAGGGAAGCGCUUGGAACCAGUACGAUGUCCCCGCAGGGAAUCCAGGCAGCUGUCCGUGCCCUCGCCCAUUGCGGACGAGCCGAUCAUCUCGGCCGUCGGGUGGGCGGAGGGGCCGCGGGCCGGCUGCUGCAUCUUCUCUGCGGCGGCGAGUCAGCAUCAGUGUGUCGCGCCGGAGAUGGGCGCCGGGGAGGUAGCCACGCCCGCAAGGGCGCGGUGUUAUAGCCCGGCGUCGUGUACGGCGCGUGCAGACUGAGGAAAAUCGCAGCGUAUCCACGAGACCCGUGCCCGCAUGGAGGCCGGCGCGUCGCUCUUCCUGUGCGUCCUUUGUCGGCGUACAGACUGCGGCGCUCCCGGUCGCCAUCGCGGGUGCGUGACUGUCAUCCACUACGCUCCGGAUGCCUUGACGAAAUGGUUCCAAUCGACCCGUCUUGAAACACGGACCAAGGAGUCUGACAUGUGUGCGAGUGUUUGGGUGGUUAAACCCGUACGCGAAAUGAAAGUAACCGUGGUGGGACGGCCGCAAGGCCCGCACCAUCGACCGAUCUGGAUACUUGUUUGAAAGAUUUGAGUACGAGCACACCUGUCGGGACCCGAAAGAUGGUGAACUAUGCCUGAAUAGGGCGAAGCCAGAGGAAACUCUGGUGGAGGCUCGUAGCGAUACUGACGUGCAAAUCGUUCGUCGAAUUUGGGUAUAGGGGCGAAAGACUAAUCGAACCAUCUAGUAGCUGGUUCCCUC
rnacentral:misc_RNA from 1 species